AUCCCUUCUUGGCCUUUUGGCUAAGAUCAAGUGUAGGAUGCAUUUCUAGAAGUACACAUUCCCUAGUCAGAGGAUGAAAUUUAUCACAAUUCUGAUGUCAAACGAAUACCGAUAUGCAGUGCCAUAUGCAAUAUGAGUACUGGGUAUUUGCACUAUUUUUA
rnacentral:snRNA from 1 species